UACGUAGGGUGCAAGCGUUAAUCGGAAUUACUGGGCGUAAAGCGUGCGCAGGCGGUUUUGUAAGUCUGUCAUGAAAGCCCCGGGCUUAACCUGGGAAUUGCAUUUGUGACUGUCCGGCUAGAGUGUGUCAGAGGGGGGUAGAAUUCCGACGUGUAGCAGUGAAAUGCGUAGAGUAUGUGGAGGAAUACCGAUGGCGAAGGCAGCCCCCUGGGAUCAAGCAC
rnacentral:rRNA from 1 species